GAGCUAUUAGCUCAGUUGGUAGAGCAUCUGACUUUUAAUCAGAGGGUCAGAGGUUCGAAUCCUCUAUGGCUCA
rnacentral:tRNA from 1 species